UUGCACAGUGAGCACCCAAGUGUGCUUCAUGGUUCCCUUGGCUUUGACUCUGUGCUGGAAGAAAGUCUGUUCUUUUCUUCUGCAUUGAAAGGAGUAUUUAACCUUUUAAAUAUAUUCAGAAAGGCUUCACGUUA
rnacentral:snoRNA from 1 species